rnacentral:lncRNA from 1 species
GAUGGCUUCCCUGCAGUGGUUUUAGAUAGUAAUGACAUCAUCAAAGGAGUCUGUGAUGAGGAGUCUGUGAAGACAGAACUCACACAGGAACUGCACUACCGUGCUCGCUCUCUGGACAACACAGACAGCAGGAAUACCAGAGUGAAGGUCUUUAAGGAAAGCCUGGCUCUAAAGGGGAAGCAGGUAACUGUGUCUCUACAUGCCUGAAGACGCCCCUGCUUGCUUCUACCCCAGGUGGCCUCCUUUCACGUCUCUGCUCUGAUCCAUACACCCUCUUGCUGCUGCUCCCCAAGAUGCUGAAUUUCCAAGCUCAUUUACCAUUGGCCAGGGAAAGAGAAGAGGAAACGGUUUCAGGCAUAGCAGGAAGGAUAGCAAAAGGCCAAUAUGUCCUCAUAUAUUCACCACCACCUCCCCGCCAUGGCAACUGCCAACUUGCUGGCAAGAAGUAGCUCAAGCAAAUUGCCUAUUAAUUGAAUGUUGCUCAAGAUGUAAAGUCCUAGGUUUCUUCAUCAAUUCUUCGAGAUGGCUUCCGUUGGAGCCUCUCAAGGGUGGUAACUGUCAGGCAGUGGAAAACCAGCAUAGGAGCAUACGCUGCCAGGAAGGAACACCUUUACUGCUAUGUAUAACGCUCCAGCAAAAUAAAGCCAUUUCUUUUCUUUUUAAAAUUAA